rnacentral:rRNA from 1 species
GCAGGCCUAACACAUGCAAGUCGAGCGGUAGCACAGAGAGCUUGCUCUCGGGUGACGAGCGGCGGACGGGUGAGUAAUGUCUGGGAAACUGCCUGAUGGAGGGGGAUAACUACUGGAAACGGUAGCUAAUACCGCAUAACGUCGCAAGACCAAAGUGGGGGACCUUCGGGCCUCAUGCCAUCAGAUGUGCCCAGAUGGGAUUAGCUAGUAGGUGGGGUAACGGCUCACCUAGGCGACGAUCCCUAGCUGGUCUGAGAGGAUGACCAGCCACACUGGAACUGAGACACGGUCCAGACUCCUACGGGAGGCAGCAGUGGGGAAUAUUGCACAAUGGGCGCAAGCCUGAUGCAGCCAUGCCGCGUGUGUGAAGAAGGCCUUCGGGUUGUAAAGCACUUUCAGCGGGGAGGAAGGCGUUAAGGUUAAUAACCUUGGCGAUUGACGUUACCCGCAGAAGAAGCACCGGCUAACUCCGUGCCAGCAGCCGCGGUAAUACGGAGGGUGCAAGCGUUAAUCGGAAUUACUGGGCGUAAAGCGCACGCAGGCGGUCUGUCAAGUCGGAUGUGAAAUCCCCGGGCUCAACCUGGGAACUGCAUUCGAAACUGGCAGGCUAGAGUCUUGUAGAGGGGGGUAGAAUUCCAGGUGUAGCGGUGAAAUGCGUAGAGAUCUGGAGGAAUACCGGUGGCGAAGGCGGCCCCCUGGACAAAGACUGACGCUCAGGUGCGAAAGCGUGGGGAGCAAACAGGAUUAGAUACCCUGGUAGUCCACGCCGUAAACGAUGUCGAUUUGGAGGUUGUGCCCUUGAGGCGUGGCUUCCGGAGCUAACGCGUUAAAUCGACCGCCUGGGGAGUACGGCCGCAAGGUUAAAACUCAAAUGAAUUGACGGGGGCCCGCACAAGCGGUGGAGCAUGUGGUUUAAUUCGAUGCAACGCGAAGAACCUUACCUGGUCUUGACAUCCACAGAACUUUCCAGAGAUGGAUUGGUGCCUUCGGGAACUGUGAGACAGGUGCUGCAUGGCUGUCGUCAGCUCGUGUUGUGAAAUGUUGGGUUAAGUCCCGCAACGAGCGCAACCCUUAUCCUUUGUUGCCAGCGGUUAGGCCGGGAACUCAAAGGAGACUGCCAGUGAUAAACUGGAGGAAGGUGGGGAUGACGUCAAGUCAUCAUGGCCCUUACGACCAGGGCUACACACGUGCUACAAUGGCAUAUACAAAGAGAAGCGACCUCGCGAGAGCAAGCGGACCUCAUAAAGUAUGUCGUAGUCCGGAUUGGAGUCUGCAACUCGACUCCAUGAAGUCGGAAUCGCUAGUAAUCGUAGAUCAGAAUGCUACGGUGAAUACGUUCCCGGGCCUUGUACAC